rnacentral:lncRNA from 1 species
CCGGGCCAUAUUUAGGUUACAUAGGUUUAUGCUCAGGUUAUGUGCUGGGCCAACGUGCCAGUUCAUCUUCAUGCCAGAGUUGGUGGAUUGGUUAUCUAAUUUUCAUUCUGAUUAUCCAGUUUUGAUGUUUGGUUAUCUAAUUUUAAUGUCUGGUUAUCUAGUUUUAUUUUCUGAUUAUACAAACUCACUUCGCAUGUCCAUAUUCAGUUUUCAUAUUUUCUUCUCUGAUUGCGUAGUAGCUGACUACUAUUCAAGCUAUUUACAUGUACAAUCUAUCUAAUUC